CUGACCCUUCCAGGGGGUUCGCUAAGACAGCUCUUCAUUAGCUCCACCCUUCUGGACAUCUCCUUAAGAAGACAGCUUGGGGAGAAGAUGGGGCUGUGGUCAGACGUGGCCGAAGCUGAGCUGUAAGCGUGAUGAUGGGUUUACAUCUCUGCCCUCGCUCUACAUGUGGUCACGGCACUUCACUGAAGUCUGAGCAGGUCCAGCAGAGCGAUGACCUCACAAGCAUCGUGACUCUGGUGACCCAGCAGAGGGUGUGGAUGUCCCUGCAGGACCACCACUCCCACAGUAUGUGAGCGAGAGGCCACUCUGGAGCCUUCCCUUAAAACAAGAUUGUUGUGCUCCUCGUUGCUAUAGAAACCUACAGUGUCCAGCAAACAUCUCCACCCAGCACUGAGGUCACCACCCUCCAUUUUCAAAGUGUUGUUUGUCCAAGUAUUCUCUCUGCCAUGUUUCUGCCUAUAUCGAGUCAUAAAUCCUGAAGCUUCCAACUCCGUAUACAUACAUGGACACGAGAGCACGCCUUCCCGCUAGUUUCAGGUUGCCGUGCUGGGCUUCAUCCUAGUACACACACUGUGUGACACCUGAGCAGGAGAACUGGCCAUCGCCAAGUGCUCUGGUGAGAUGGAACCCACUCGGAUCGUGGAAGAUGAUGGCCUUACUUCUUCUCUCCACAUCCCAAUCACAGCCCCAUCUCCACCCCUCUCCACUCCCGUGGCUAGCACAGGAACCCCUGCAGGUUGAACGCCCAUAUCUGUCUCUGGGAUUUUACUAUUUGUGCUACAGAGCUAGGCUGUGGUCCUGCUGUGUCUACUUACGGUGCUAUCCGGAGUAGUCUCGCUGAAGAGGGCAGGACGGAGUGUUUGAUCUUAGAUCAAGAGUCAAGGAAAUGUCAGGAGGAUCUCUCUCCCACGCCUGAUUUAAAACCUCAUGCAUGAGCUGGUUCCUGGGGAUCCCUAGAUCAUCGGCUGUAGACACUUAGAGGACCACCUGUACGGAUGGACAGCGGCUAGAUCCUGACAGACGAGCCUGGAGGUGACCACUGAUCCCGAGCAUGCCAAUUUAUUUGCAUUGACUGCAGGAUGUAAGGCUUAAGUGUGUAUCGUCAGUACUUCAAAGACUCUCUUCGGAUGAAUUCUAGUCCAAUUAACAUUCCCAUAAAACAGAUGUCAUAGCAGCCCCCAAAGUGAAGUAAUCUAAGACAGAAACAGAUCGGACUGCCCCUGCACAGAUGAUCAGGUGGCAGCCACAAAUGCGCGCGUGUUCUAAAAUAUUCUGAACUGAGAACUAUCUACACUUAAGGAAAGAAAGUGUGAGAAUUGGAAAUGGAAUAUCACUCUUUAGAUGUUAUCUAUAAAAUUCCCAAUUUCUGGAAUCUCCAUUUCCUCUCUCUCUGCAAUCACACCAAAACACAGGGCAGCUUUCCCUGGGAGUCAGCUGUCUGUGGGCCCCACACUGUGCACCAAAGGAGCCUGACCCCAGGUCUGGCUCACUGCAUGGGGGAGAAUUGGUUUCCCAGAUGAG